rnacentral:rRNA from 1 species
UUGAACGCUGGCGGCAGGCUUCACACAUGCAAGUCGCGCGGGGGAAGGUAGCUUGCUACCGGACCUAGCGGCGGACGGGUGAGUAAUGCUUAGGAAUCUGCCUAUUAGUGGGGGACAACAUCUCGAAAGGGAUGCUAAUACCGCAUACGUCCUACGGGAGAAAGCAGGGGAUCUUCGGACCUUGCGCUAAUAGAUGAGCCUAAGUCGGAUUAGCUAGUUGGUGGGGUAAAGGCCUACCAAGGCGACGAUCUGUAGCGGGUCUGAGAGGAUGAUCCGCCACACUGGGACUGAGACACGGCCCAGACUCCUACGGGAGGCAGCAGUGGGGAAUAUUGGACAAUGGGGGGAACCCUGAUCCAGCCAUGCCGCGUGUGUGAAGAAGGCCUUAUGGUUGUAAAGCACUUUAAGCGAGGAGGAGGCUACUUUAGUUAAUACCUAGAGAUAGUGGACGUUACUCGCAGAAUAAGCACCGGCUAACUCUGUG